UGAAGCUAUGGAAAGAAAAAAGGAAGGAGCACUGCUUGAUUGCCAGUUUCCCAGACACAGGUUAGUCCUUGUCCUGGACUAAAACGUGCUUUCAAUGGAGAAUCUGUUAUGGUGAGUGAAUGAGGACCCAAAAGCGAACUAACUUAAACAGAGCUUCUUUAAUAACCAAACAUAGGUAGGCUCAGAUAGACCGGCAGAUUCCGACAGGACAGGACAAGGUUACAGCAAACAUGACGAUAGUCUGGCUCAGGCAUGAAACACAACAAACAAGAAUCCGACAAGGACAGGAACAAAAACAGAGAGAGAUAUAGGGGACUAAUCAGAGGGAAAAAGGGAACAGGUGGGAAAAGGGGUGACGAGGUGGUUAGGAGGAGACAAGGCACAGCUAGGGGAAAGAGGGGGAGAAAAGGUAACCUAACAACGACCAGCAGAGGGAGACAGGGUGAAGGGAAAGGACAGAGACAAGGUUACAGCAAACAUGACGAUAGUCUGGCUCAGGCAUGAAACACAACAAACAAGAAUCCGACAAGGACAGGAACAAAAAACAGAGAGAGAUAUAGGGGACUAAUCAGAGGGAAAAAGGGAACAGGUGGGAAAAGGGGUGACGAGGUGGUUAGGAGGAGACAAGGCACAGCUGGGGGAAAGAGGGGGAGAAAAGGUAACCUAACAACGACCAGCAGAGGGAGACAGGGUGAAGGGAAAGGACAGAGACAAGACACAACAUGACAGUACAUGACAGAAUCUCCUUUGUGAAUGCUUUUUAGUCCAAGUCUAGGUUUAAUUAGUGUCUGGAAAACUGGCCCUUAAAGAACCGUGAGGAGAACCGUGUGGCAUUGCCCCAAGCAAGAGAGAAGCUUGACUAUACAGUGCCUUGCGAAAGUAUUCGGCCCCCUUGAACUUUGCGACCUUUUGCCACAUUUCAGGCUUCAAACAUAAAGAUAUAAAACUCUAUUUUUUUGUGAAGAAUCAACAACAAGUGGGACACAAUCAUGAAGUGGAACGACAUUUAUUGGAUAUUUCAAACUUUUUUAACAAAUCAAAAACUGAAAAAUUGGGCGUGCAAAAUUAUUCAGCCCCUUUACUUUCAGUGCAGCAAACUCUCUCCAGAAGUUCAGUGAGGAUCUCUGAAUGAUCCAAUGUUGACCUAAAUGACUAAUGAUGAUAAAUACAAUCCACCUGUGUGUAAUCAAGUCUCCGUAUAAAUGCACCUGCACUGUGAUAGUCUCAGAGGUCCGUUAAAAGCGCAGAGAGCAUCAUGAAGAACAAGGAACACACCAGGGAGGUCCGAGAUACUGUUGUGAAGAAGUUUAAAGCCGGAUUUGGAUACAAAANNNNNNNNNNA
rnacentral:lncRNA from 13 species